GCAGCUGUCACGGGGGCGAGUGGAGGAAACCAUGUUGGCCUCCGAAGCCAAGGGUCGUGGGUUCGAUCCCCGCCAGCCGCACCA
rnacentral:tRNA from 1 species